UUUUAAAAUUUGAUCAUAAAUUUUAUUUAAUAUUCGUUUUAAUUAUUUUAAUAAUAAAUGUACUUAUAAGUUAUUUUUUACUAAACACAUUAAAUUCUUAUCAGUCACUUAUUAAGCACUUUAACUAAACACGUAACUGGAGCUCAAAUUAGUUUAUAAGCACUUAAAAGCACCUAGUGCUUAUAAGCUGUUUUUCAUAAGUUAAGCCAAAAACCUUCUCAAUUCAUUUUUUUUUUUUAUUAUUUGCGCUGAAAGAUUUAAUGAUUUUCUUCUACUUCUUGAUGAAUGUUGUCUACUUUUCCAUCUGUUCACACCUUAUGUACAUAAAUAUUAUAAAAGUGUGUGAAACCUUAAAAAUAAUUGUGGCAAUUGAUGUUUUUGACAGCCAUAGAUUUUCCUAAUUGUUUCUCAAAACACUUUCUAAUAAGGUUUGCUAAUCUGGCACCGCUGAAAUUUUUUCGAUGUAUCUUGUUGGAUGUUGCACUUCACUUAGUUCAAACUUUGUUUUCCAUCCAUGUUUGCAAGUUCACAUUUCUUUUCCCUGACUGGUAUAUGUAUUUGCCUUUUUCCUUUGCAUAUGUGGAUGCCUUCACUUGUUUCCUUUGCAUUUUCAAUUAUGAUAAGUCUGCAUAUGACGUUGAAUUCAAGUCCUAUCUGUUCUCACAAUUUUGGACUUGUCCAUGAUUCAAAAACGUAACAUUGAAACAUUGCAUUAGAUAUCCUGUUCUGUGUAGCCA
rnacentral:misc_RNA from 1 species